ensembl:snoRNA LOC120103308 small nucleolar RNA SNORA17
CCUGCCCCUAGAGAUAUUGCAGGAGUGGAGGUUGUGUCACAUGUGUGUCAGUAGGUGGCAGAGAGAAGAGAGGCUAUGCCCAUGUUACUGACCUGACCUAUGAGCAUCGGAAUGAUUUGGUAGCCUAAAAUU